rnacentral:rRNA from 1 species
AACGAACGCUGGCGGCAGGCCUAACACAUGCAAGUCGAACGCCCCGCAAGGGGAGUGGCAGACGGGUGAGUAACACGUGGGAAUCUACCCAGUACUGCGGAAUAACAGUUAGAAAUGACUGCUAAUACCGCAUACGCCCUUCGGGGGAAAGAUUUAUCGGUAUUGGAUGAGCCCGCGUCUGAUUAGCUAGUUGGUGAGGUAAUGGCUCACCAAGGCGACGAUCAGUAGCUGGUCUGAGAGGAUGAUCAGCCACACUGGGACUGAGACACGGCCCAGACUCCUACGGGAGGCAGCAGUGGGGAAUAUUGGACAAUGGGCGCAAGCCUGAUCCAGCCAUGCCGCGUGUGUGAU